rnacentral:rRNA from 1 species
UACGGGGGGGGCAAGCGUUGUUCGGAAUUACUGGGCGUAAAGGGCUCGUAGGCGGCCAACUAAGUCAGACGUGAAAUCCCUCGGCUUAACCGGGGAACUGCGUCUGAUACUGGAUGGCUUGAGUUUUGGAGAGGGAUGCGGAAUUCCAGGUGUAGCGGUGAAAUGCGUAGAUAUCUGGAGGAACACCGGUGGCGAAGGCGGCAUCCUGGACCAACACUGACGCUGAGUGAGCGAAAGCCAGGGGAGCAAACGGG